AAAGCGUGCGCAGGCGGCUUUGCAAGACAGAUGUGAAAUCCCCGGGCUCAACCUGGGAACUGCAUUUGUGACUGCAAGGCUAGAGUACGGCAGAGGGGGAUGGAAUUCCGCGUGUAGCAGUGAAAUGCGUAGAUAUGCGGAGGAACACCGAUGGCGAAGGCAAUCCCCUGGGCCUGUACUGACGCUCAUGCACGAAAGCGUGGGGAGCAAACAGGAUUAGAUACCCCAGU
rnacentral:rRNA from 1 species